UACGGAGGAUGCGAGCGUUAUCCGGAUUUAUUGGGUUUAAAGGGUGCGUAGGCGGGAUGCCAAGUCAGCGGUAAAAAUGCGGUGCUCAACGCCGUCGAGCCGUUGAAACUGGCGUUCUUGAGUGGGCGAGAAGUAUGCGGAAUGCGUGGUGUAGCGGUGAAAUGCAUAGAUAUCACGCAGAACUCCGAUUGCGAAGGCGGCACACCGGCGCCCUACUGACGCUGAGGCACGAAAGCGUGGGUAUCGAACAGG
rnacentral:rRNA from 1 species